CACUUCUCAGUCUUUUGGCUAAAAUCAAGUGUAGAAUC
rnacentral:snRNA from 1 species